rnacentral:misc_RNA from 1 species
CAAAAAAAAAAAAAAAACAAAAAGAGUAACAGUAUGAGGGACUUGAUUACACUACCUGUUCAGAAGAGGCAAACUUCCUCUUUUGUAGGAGAGUUUAGAAUACUGGACGGGGAUUGUAUCUUCCUCCUCUUCUUUAUAAGGAAGAUUGAUUUUACUUGCGUUGUAGAAUGGAUAGGAAUACGCGUGGCAUGCAUUCACUUGUGCUGUUGUGCAUCAGGUAACAAGUAGUUGUCAACUUUUAACUUCUUUUUCGGCAUAGGGGAGGGGGUGUCCCCUUGUUGAGGAAAAUUUGUUCGUUUGAGAAUGGGGAGCUAUACCUCCUCUUAGUGGUAGCUUCUGAAUGGAUGUUUAAUGAAAUGAUACUAACAGAUGGUGGUGUUGCUGUUAUUAGAAAGUACCCUAUUGUCGUCUUCCUACUUGGUUCACUUUUCCAUGACUGUGAGACCCCCCUCCAUCCCUAUUAAAAACACAUGGAAAUUGAAAAUUCCCUUAAUUUUCCUCCUUAAUGAACUAGCGCAGCUCGAGGUUCUGCGCUGUUGGAUGAAGUUUAAUCCUGGUUGGCGGCAAAUUAAGGAUUAGGUUGCAGUAUUGAUGAGCGUGGUAAAAUUAGGUGAGAACGAAGAAGCGAGAAGCUGUGGUCCGUUGGCUCAGCAGUUUUAUUACUCCAUAAUUAGCCAUUAUGGAUCUGAGACAAAUACCGAGAAUUGAAAUCGAUAUUUAGAUUGAACGAUGUGGCAGGAAACUGUUAAUAGUACUCUUAAAAAGGAUGGAAUUAUGUCAAUGGGACUGUAUAUACUAGUAUGAAAUAAAUAAAAGGACGUGUCAUAGAGAGAGACAACAAAGGAAGCACACAACAAACGCAUUAGCGAAAUGCAUCCCAACUUUCUUUUACCGUCUCCACCAAUUUCUUUGUAUGUGUUAACGCAUGUAAGAGUAUCGACUCAGAUUGAUAUUCAUAUCAGUGAUGGUGACGGGCAUUUGCAACCCAAUGCUUUCCACUUGCAAGAUUUCGAUUUCCACUUGCAACAUGCUUGACCUCUCCUCGGUGACACCUGUUUUGUAGAGUUUCUGGGGCUAGUUGAGGUUACUUUUGGAGGGGUAUGUCAUCAGAUUGAUAUUUCCUUUUUCCUAAUUUUGUCUCUUUGUAAGCGAUGAUGCUAAAACCAUCGUUUUUGUCAUCAUUUUAUUUUUCAAAUUUCUGUUUUUUUAAUAUUCCCAGCUUUCCUGUUUUCUGUAUAGGAGGAAAAGUGUUCCUGGUUUCUGUAUAGGAGGAAAAGUGUAGAAUGAUUAUUAAUGCAUUAAUUCCACUAGUGUAAUUGUUCAUGUUAAUUAAUGGGCUCGUGUACUAGUACAAAUCCUAUCAAUGAUACAACAAAUAGUCAAAACUCUCACGUGGAAUAGAACACCUCCUGCGGCUAAUGGUUUCUGACCUUGCUGUGGGUCUCAUAAUCACAAAACAGAAAAUUAGCGCAUUUUAGUGAUGGUUGAUCAAGCAGGGAUAUGAUUAAAUACAGCCGAUACAUAUAUACACAUCUUGAAACAUCCACUCAAUUUACUCCGGUGAAGAUAUAUACUGUCACAACCAUAAACAUAGAGGCCAAGGAUGGUUAUAUUUGUUUAGUUUGUGGUAUGAGGCGAAGCUGCCUGCAAUGCACAUAAAUAAGAAGGCUGUAGCUCUUGCUGCUCUUGUUGUUUUAGUAGUUGUUGCUGCUGUUCUCCUUCCCAUGUCCAAAUAAUGUCUUUGAGUGCAGGUCUAAUCUCUUGU